rnacentral:misc_RNA from 1 species
UUUCCGUAGGUGAACCUGCGGAAGGAUCAUUAAAAGAGUUUGAUACUUCGCUCCUCCUCGCGGGAGGGGCCGUUGCUCUUCGGAGCAACCGUGUUGCCCUUCUUCGUGUUGCUCUUAGGAGCUCCCGAGUUGUUCUUCGCGUUGCUAUUCGGGGUCGUGGCUCUGCGGAGCCGUGGCUCUUCGGAGGCGGUGUCAAUAAACAUUCCACACUGUGAACGGUUGGGCUACUAGCCUACUUUUUCAUUUACUCUUGUCAUGAACGUCAAAUACUAUGAUAUAAACAAAACUUUCAACAACGGAUCUCUUGGCUCUC